rnacentral:rRNA from 1 species
UAUGGCGACCGGCGCACGGGUGAGUAACACGUAUCCAACCUGCCGAUGACUCGGGGAUAGCCUUUCGAAAGGAAGAUUAAUACCCGAUGGCAUAGUUCUUCCGCAUGGUAGAACUAUUAAAGAAUUUCGGUCAUCGAUGGGGAUGCGUUCCAUUAGGUUGUUGGCGGGGUAACGGCCCACCAAGCCUUCGAUGGAUAGGGGUUCUGAGAGGAAGGUCCCCCACAUUGGAACUGAGACACGGUCCAA